rnacentral:rRNA from 1 species
AUGUCCAAGACUGUGACGACCAAGGUGUAUCUGAAGCAAAAGUUGUAUGGGGUGAGGAUGCAGGAGGGGUCGGAUCUUGUGGAGUAUAUGAACAACUUUAAUCAAGUUGUGACGGAUCUAGCACGCUUGGGUGCGACGGUUGAUGACGAGGAUAGGGCAAUUCUGCUUCUCUGUUCAUUGCCAUCAUCCUAUAACCAUUUGAUCACUACUUUGACGCACAGCAAGGAGACCGUCAAGAAUGAGGAUAUUACUGCGGCAUUGCUAUCUUAUGAUAUGAGAAAGAAAAACGCGGUGGAAGUCUCUCAUGGUGAAGGUUUGCUAGUCAAGGAUGAGCAGUGGCAGAAGGGAUAUGAGGCUGGGAAGAACAAGAAAAAGAAAAAGAAUAUACAGUGUCACAAGUGUAAGCAGUGGGGACAUAUGAGAAAGGACUGUCCAGAACUCAAUGGCGGGGCCAGUGCUAAUAAGGCAACUCAUGGUGAUGACUCAGACAGCAGUAGUGUUGUUCUUAUAGUAUCAGACAGGCGGUCAACCAAAAGUGAAGCGUGGAUGUUGGAUUCAGCUUGCUCUUUUCAUGCGACACCCAACAGGGAGUGGUUCUCUUCGUACAAGUCUGUUGAGUUUGGUUUAGCCUAUGUGGGCGAUGACACAGGUUAUCGUGUUGCUGGAGUAGGUGACAUCAAAAUCAAGAUGUUUGACGGAGUUGAGCGGAUGCUUCGGGGAGUCAGGCAUGUGCCGGGGCUAAGGAGGAAUCUAAUUUCGCUUGGAGUUCUUCAUGAUGGUGGUAUGGUAUUCCGUUGUGAUCGGGAUAAGAAGACCAUGAGAAUCAUGGAAGAUGAGGUGACCGUGAUGAUUGGAGCGAGGACGGCUUCGCAUCUUUACAAGUUGCAAGGG